rnacentral:tRNA from 1 species
CGCGUUAGAGCUUGACAUAAGCAUCUCUUUUACACGGAGAAGAUAUUUGGGAAUCAAAUUAACUCGA